UUGGGAAUUGCUGGGUCAUAUGGUAACGAUGUUUAACUUUUUGAGGAACUGCCAAACUGUUUUCCAAAGUGACUGCACCAUUUUCCAUUCCCACAAGCAGU
rnacentral:pre_miRNA from 1 species